rnacentral:rRNA from 1 species
UACGAAGGGGGCUAGCGUUGCUCGGAAUCACUGGGCGUAAAGCGCACGUAGGCGGAUUGCUAAGUCAGGGGUGAAAUCCUGGAGCUCAACUCCAGAACUGCCUUUGAUACUGGCGAUCUCGAGUCCGGGGGAGGUGAGUGGAACUCCGAGUGUAGAGGUGAAAUUCGUAGAUAUUCGGAAGAACACCAGUGGCGAAGGCGGCUCACUGGCCCGGUACUGACGCUGAGGUGCGAAAGCGUGGGGAGCAAACAGG